rnacentral:rRNA from 1 species
AGUGAACGCUGGCGGUAGGCCUAACACAUGCAAGUCGAACGGCAGCACAGUAAGAGCUUGCUCUUACGGGUGGCGAGUGGCGGACGGGUGAGGAAUACAUCGGAAUCUACUUUUUCGUGGGGGAUAACGUAGGGAAACUUACGCUAGUACCGCAUACGACCUACGGGUGAAAGCAGGGGAUCUUCGGACCUUGCGCGAUUGAAUGAGCCGAUGUCGGAUUAGCUAGUUGGCGGGGUAAAGGCCCACCAAGGCGACGAUCCGUAGCUGGUCUGAGAGGAUGAUCAGCCACACUGGAACUGAGACACGGUCCAGACUCCUACGGGAGGCAGCAGUGGGGAAUAUUGGACAAUGGGCGCAAGCCUGAUCCAGCCAUACCGCGUGGGUGAAGAAGGCCUUCGGGUUGUAAAGCCCUUUUGUCGGGAAAGAAAAGCAGCAGGUUAAUACCCCGCUGUUCUGACGGUACCCAAAGAAUAAGCACCGGCUAACUUCGUG